rnacentral:rRNA from 1 species
GAUGAACGCUGGCGGCGUGCCUAAUACAUGCAAGUCGAGCGAACGGACGAGAAGCUUGCUUCUCUGAUGUUAGCGGCGGACGGGUGAGUAACACGUGGAUAACCUACCUAUAAGACUGGGAUAACUUCGGGAAACCGGAGCUAAUACCGGAUAAUAUUUUGAACCGCAUGGUUCAAAAGUGAAAGACGGUCUUGCUGUCACUUAUAGAUGGAUCCGCGCUGCAUUAGCUAGUUGGUAAGGUAACGGCUUACCAAGGCAACGAUGCAUAGCCGACCUGAGAGGGUGAUCGGCCACACUGGAACUGAGACACGGUCCAGACUCCUACGGGAGGCAGCAGUAGGGAAUCUUCCGCAAUGGGCGAAAGCCUGACGGAGCAACGCCGCGUGAGUGAUGAAGGUCUUCGGAUCGUAAAACUCUGUUAUUAGGGAAGAACAUAUGUGUAAGUAACUGUGCGCAUCUUGACGGUACCUAAUCAGAAAGCCACGGCUAACUACGUGCCAGCAGCCGCGGUAAUACGUAGGUGGCAAGCGUUAUCCGGAAUUAUUGGGCGUAAAGCGCGCGUAGGCGGUUUUUUAAGUCUGAUGUGAAAGCCCACGGCUCAACCGUGGAGGGUCAUUGGAAACUGGAAAACUUGAGUGCAGAAGAGGAAAGUGGAAUUCCAUGUGUAGCGGUGAAAUGCGCAGAGAUAUGGAGGAACACCAGUGGCGAAGGCGACUUUCUGGUCUGUAACUGACGCUGAUGUGCGAAAGCGUGGGGAUCAAACAGGAUUAGAUACCCUGGUAGUCCACGCCGUAAACGAUGAGUGCUAAGUGUUAGGGGGUUUCCGCCCCUUAGUGCUGCAGCUAACGCAUUAAGCACUCCGCCUGGGGAGUACGACCGCAAGGUUGAAACUCAAAGGAAUUGACGGGGACCCGCACAAGCGGUGGAGCAUGUGGUUUAAUUCGAAGCAACGCGAAGAACCUUACCAAAUCUUGACAUCCUUUGACAACUCUAGAGAUAGAGCCUUCCCCUUCGGGGGACAAAGUGACAGGUGGUGCAUGGUUGUCGUCAGCUCGUGUCGUGAGAUGUUGGGUUAAGUCCCGCAACGAGCGCAACCCUUAAGCUUAGUUGCCAUCAUUAAGUUGGGCACUCUAGGUUGACUGCCGGUGACAAACCGGAGGAAGGUGGGGAUGACGUCAAAUCAUCAUGCCCCUUAUGAUUUGGGCUACACACGUGCUACAAUGGACAAUACAAAGGGCAGCGAAACCGCGAGGUCAAGCAAAUCCCAUAAAGUUGUUCUCAGUUCGGAUUGUAGUCUGCAACUCGACUACAUGAAGCUGGAAUCGCUAGUAAUCGUAGAUCAGCAUGCUACGGUGAAUACGUUCCCGGGUCU